UUAUAUAGAACAGAAAGUAUAUGGUAAUGG
rnacentral:piRNA from 1 species